rnacentral:rRNA from 1 species
CGGACGGGUGAGUAAUGCUUGGGAAUGUACCUUAUGGUGGGGGACAACAGUUGGAAACGACUGCUAAUACCGCAUAAUGUCUUCGGACCAAAGCGGGGGACCUUCGGGCCUCGCGCCAUAAGAUCAGCCCAAGUGGGAUUAGCUAGUUGGUGAGGUAAUGGCUCACCAAGGCGACGAUCCCUAGCUGGUUUGAGAGGAUGAUCAGCCACACUGGGACUGAGACACGGCCCAGACUCCUACGGGAGGCAGCAGUGGGGAAUAUUGCACAAUGGGCGCAAGCCUGAUGCAGCCAUGCCGCGUGUGUGAAGAAGGCCUUCGGGUUGUAAAGCACUUUCAGUAAGGAGGAAAGGUUGGAUGUUAAUAGCAUUCAGCUGUGACGUUACUUACAGAAGAAGCACCGGCUAACUCCGUGCCAGCAGCCGCGGUAAUACGGAGGGUGCGAGCGUUAAUCGGAAUUACUGGGCGUAAAGCGUACGCAGGCGGUUUGUUAAGCGAGAUGUGAAAGCCCCGGGCUCAACCUGGGAACUGCAUUUCGAACUGGCAAACUAGAGUGUGAUAGAGGGUGGUAGAAUUUCAGGUGUAGCGGUGAAAUGCGUAGAGAUCUGAAGG